CCAGCCACGCACCAGACGCCAAGAACAGAGCAGGUCUCCGUCUCCCACUCUUCCUCUCUCGAUGCAAAUCUCCAAACCUAGCUGACCGUUGACGGCGCCGGCGCCAUCGCCAGCAAGCGAGGUCCGACAGACGAGGUGGGCCCUCUGCCCCUCUGGCCGUCUCCCUUCCCUCCCCUCCGGCCUCCAUGGCUGUGGUCCGUGCGGGGCAGCGCCGCUGUGGGCUUCCUCCGGCCUCCGUCGCCGUCGGCAGUCACCGCUUCAGUCCGCCAGCCGAGAGGCUAGAAGGGGAAGCCACCCAAUGUCCAAUCCAUCCAGUACUGCAUCCACCUACAAAUUACCAAGUCCAUGCCACAUUGCAACUGCCACUUAUUUCUACUUUGUUUGUGUGAUGUAAGAUGAAGAAGUAUGUUGGCAUAUUUGAAUUGUGGGACAUAUCUUCAAACUAAGGCAAGGAAAACAAUUUCUACGUCCACAUUUGUUGUUUGUUCUAUUA